rnacentral:rRNA from 1 species
AACGAACGCUGGCGGCAGGCCUAACACAUGCAAGUCGAACGAGAUCUUCGGAUCUAGUGGCGGACGGUGAGUAACGCGUGGGAACGUGCCCUUCUCUACGGAAUAGUCCUGGGAAACCUGGGUUUAAUACCGUAUACGCCCUUCGGGGAAAGAAUUUCGGGAAGGAUCGGCCCGCGUUGGAUUAGGUACGUUGGUGGGGUAAAUGGGCCUACCGAAGCCGACGAUCCAUAGCUGGUUUGAGAGGAUGAUCAGCCACACUGGGACUGAGACACGGCCCAGACC